rnacentral:rRNA from 1 species
GUUGCACAUUCCCGAGAAUGUGCAGUAUCGGAGCGAAGGUGUUAAACUCACCGCCUGGGGAGUACGGUCGCAAGGCUGAAACUUAAAGGAAUUGGCGGGGGAGCACAACAAGGGGUGCGGCGUGCGGUUUAAUUGAACUCAACGCCGGGAAUCUCAUCAGCAGCGACGGCAGAAUGAAGGUCAGAUUGAAGGUCUUACCUGACAAGCCGAGAGGUGGUGCAUGGCCGUCGUCAGCUCGUGCCGUAAGGUGUCCUGCUAAGCCAGGUAACGAGCGAGACCUGUACCCACAAUUGCUAACAUUCUUUUUUGAGGGUGUGCACAGUGUGGGGACUGCCUUGGAAACAAGGAGGAAGGUGCAGUCAACGAUAGGUCUGUAUGCCCCGAAUCUGCUGGGCUACACGCGCGCAACAAUGGUAUGGACAAUGGGAUGCAACUCCGAAAGGAGAAGCUAAACCUCGAAACCAUAUCUUAGUUCAGAUUGAGGUUUGUAACUCAGCCUCAUGACGACGGAAUCCCUAGUAAUCAGACGUCAUCAUCGUCCGGUGAAUAUGUCCCUGCUCCUUGUACACACCGCCCGUCAAACCACUCGAGUAGGGUUUAGGUGAGGCCAGAUUUCUUGAUCUGAUCGAAUCUAAGCUUUGCGAGAUGGGUUAAGUCGUAACAAGGUAGCC